CAACAAGCUUGACCGGACAAAACGCCCACCGCUCUGCAGCGGUGUCCUCUCAGCUCCGGAGGGAACAGCAGGAACCCGAAGCCCUUCUUCCAGCGCUAAAACGGAAAGAAUAAAGUCUGUGUUCUCUGGAGCGACCUACAGCGAAGAAGAUGUCAGUGGCUUAUAAAGAUGAUGAGGAAGACUGGUUGACAGUUUGCCUCAAGUACCUGCUCUUUGUGUUUAACUUUCUUUUUUGGGUGGGUGGAGCUGCAGUCUUGGGUGUAGGAGUGUGGACCCUGGUGGAGAAGAGUGACUACCUUAGUCUGUUGGCCUCCAGCACUUUUGCUGUUUCAGCGUAUAUUUUAAUCCUGGCUGGCAGCCUGGUGGUCGUUACUGGCUUCUUGGGCUGCUGCGCUGUUAUCCGGGAACAGAGAAGCUGCCUUUCCAUGUAUUUCUUCUUUCUGCUGUUAAUAUUCUUGAUUGAGUUGGUGGCUGGCGUGCUGGCUUACGUUUACUACCAGAGGCUGAGUGAUGAACUGAAGGAGCACCUCAACCAGACAAUGACUGAGAAUUAUGCUCAGCAAGGGAAGAAAACAAUCACAUCCGCAGUGGACAGACUGCAACAAGAUUUCAAGUGCUGUGGCAGCAACAACUCGCAGGAUUGGAUGCUGAGUGUGUACAUUAGGUCAGAGCAGUCGGGGAACAGGGUGGUGCCUGACAGCUGCUGUAAAACCAUUACGCCUGACUGUGGCAGAAGGGACCAUCCCUCCAACAUCUAUAAAGUGGAGGGUGGUUGCAUCACUAAGCUGGAGCAGUUCCUUGCAGACCAUCUAUUGGUUAUUGGUGCGGUGGGAAUUGGUGUGGCCUGUCUUCAGCUUGCCGGGGCACUCUUGACAGCCUGCUUUAUCUAUCUGCUCUAUAAGGAAGAGGAAGAGGACUUUGGUGCAUUGUAAUUUGGCUCUAGAGCUCCUUGGUGCUUUUAAUCAAAUGGAUAGACAAGGUUGGAAGAUCUGUGGGAUGGUGUUCACCUGCUGCUUGCACAGGAGGAUUCAGAUGGAUCCUUACUAGGCGUACAAGACCCUAACAAACCACCGGUAACAUGCAAAUGUGGCAAAGCCUGCUGACACCUGACUUCCACAUCUGGAUCUGGGAUUACAAUCAUAAUAUAAGUGAAAUUUACAUGCAACACUGUCAGAAAUGAAUUAAGCCGUUGAGUCUUGCUUUCUACAAGAAGAUGAUAUAUUUAUUUGCCUUACUUGCAUGAUUUAAAUUGAGUUGAACCUUCUGUAACUAAUGCUAAAAUAAAGAUUUCUCUCCCCCCCCCAUACUUCUUAAUACAGUACCUGCAGUUUUUGAGAGCAAACAAGAAUUUAUAAAAGACCCUGGCUACACUUGUCAUUGUUUAUGAAGCGAUGGGACUUAAUGUGCCUUUUUUUCAGGAUUGUGUUGAUGAAUAAUUAUAUGCUGAGUGCCUUGAAACUUUAAUGGAAAUCUGACAACACAACAUAGUAAAGUUUAUAUAUUAUUGAUCAGUUUAAAUGUUUCUAACAAAACUAUAAUGCUGAAUUUUACAUUAAUAAUCAAAGUUAACUUGUCAAAGUUGCAACACUACCAAAGUUGGCCCACAGGUUAUAUCUCACAAAAUGCUAACACAUUUUUGAAUUUAGAACGCCACCUAGUGGACACAGCUCUCAAUGAAAAACAAGCCAAGGGUUUGUAAAAGACAUGGAUGGCAACUUGGUUUCGUUUUCUAUAAAAUGUUCAUUUUUAAAUUAUCGUGGGCACCCUGAUAUCUGCGUUUUCACAUUAAAGCAAAAAAAAAAAAAUUAUUUCGUCUCUUUUUGUCAUCGUUAUACUUUCUGCUGUAGAUAUGAAUAUUUUAAAUUAGAAAUAUGUUCCUCAUUGUUACUGUCUCUUGUUGUAAUCAUUGUAUCAUUUAAUCUUAUUAAAAGAAUUUAUCAUUGCCAA